CUCUCUCUCUCUCUAUCUUGGGUACCUUAUAUACUUUACGGUUAAACAGAUUUGUCAUUUAUGGCACACGACGGGGUGUCCAGUUCAAGACAACGUCCUGCCCCUGUCGCACAUCUUCCCCCCUUUCACCCCCACCCCGCCCACUAUUCCCUUUUUCGAUGACGCAACUGGGGUACAAUAGUACCCCAGAGAAAAUUCAAACUACGGCCCUGGCUUCGUGAGCUUAACUGUCAUGGCGGCACCCCAACUUUAAUUCAGUUUAAUUAUUAUAGAUGGAUGGAAGCGGAUAUUACACACACACUCGGAGUAGUAGACUUA